rnacentral:misc_RNA from 1 species
UCCGAGUUGACCCCGGCAGUCUCCCAUGAGUUCCCACCAUGACGUGCUGGCAACAUAGGACGAGGGUUGCGCUCGUUGCGGGACUUAACCCAACAUCUCACGACACGAGCUGACGACAACCAUGCACCACCUGUGCACCGGCCACAAGGGAAAACACAUCUCUGCGCCGGUCCAGUGCAUGUCAAGCCUUGGUAAGGUUCUUCGCGUUGCAUCGAAUUAAUCCGCAUGCUCCGCCGCUUGUGCGGGCCCCCGUCAAUUCCUUUGAGUUUUAGCCUUGCGGCCGUACUCCCCAGGCGGGGCACUUAAUGCGUUAGCUGCGGCACGGAAUCCGUGGAAUGGACCCCACACCUAGUGCCCAACGUUUACGGCAUGGACUAC